ensembl:lncRNA
CCUCCCAACGCCAGGCAGUAUUGUCAGCUCAAUGAUGCAGUGCCGAUUCUCAAGGUUUAUUUUGAUGGCCAGAGUGACAUGCAAGUUGACUUCCGCUUGUCAAGGGGAUCUUUUAAUGCCCUUAUGGAAGCCAUGGGGAGCAACGCAGACCACGGCUGGGAUCCGGAGAUCGCCUGCCUGGUCUUCCUGUUCUGGUUGGCCAGUGGUACAUCCUACCGUGUCGUCUCCAGGGCCUUUGAUAUGCCCAGAACAUCCUUCCACCGUCCUAUCCACACCACCAGUGCAAAGAUUGCCUCCCUGUUUGCUCAAACAAGUCAACCAUCCUACAGAGGAAGAGAUGGUGACUGUGGGCGCAGGAUUUGCGCGCAUGGCAGGGUCGGCGGCCUUCAACAGGGUGGUUGGGAGCAUUGACGGCUGCCACGUCAGAGUAAAGCCCCCUUCACAGGAUGCCGACUGCUACCUGAACCGUAAACUUUUUUAUUCGGUUCAGCUUCAGGCUGUGGUUGACCAAACAGCAAAAUUCCUAGAUGUGUGUUUGGGGUACACCGGGUCAGUGCAUGACUCGAGGGUACUAAAGAACAGCCCCCUGUACCUAGAGAAACAGUACCCUCCACCAGGGUACUGACUCAUCGGGGAUGGUGGGUACCCCUGCCUGUCCUACCCCAUGACCCUGAUGACCCCCUACCGUCAGCCUCUCAGGAGCCAGCUUCAGGCAGCGUACAACAGCCGACUGACAAAGGCCAGAGUAGUGGUGGAGCGGGCCUUUGGGAUCUUGAAGACCAGAUGGAGGGCCAUAUUUCUGAAGGCGCUGGAGGUGGACGUCCUGUUCGUCCCGGAGGUCAUCCUCUGCUGCACCAUACUCGACAAUAUUUGCCUGAGCCAGGGAGACGUGCUGGACCCGGAGGACGGCGAGGACAGCGAGGCUGGAGCUGCAGAGGAAGAGGAUCCAAGACGGGAGGCAGCACCCCCAGAGCACACUGCUUCGCUGUACAGUUCAGCAUGGAAAGGAAAGCAUGGAGUUCUUAACCACCAAUGAGGGUGCAAAAAAGGAGCCAGAAUGAAGACUGUAGCCAUCCUGUAUUGAAAUGCCUAAGGCAAAGAAGAAGGCAGCAAUGGCUAGAAUCUAAGAAGAACAUGAUGCAAUCAGAUAAUGAAAGUGUGGCACCCAGUUGCAGCAGCAAUAGCAGUGGAUUAGGAUCAGUGUCGGUUGUUGACUUUCUCGAAGCAAAGAUCCAGUGGCAAGACAAAAAAAUUAAAGAGCUUGAAAAAGAGCGCAACUUUCUUCACUCACAAGUCCUGAAGGAGAAAUCAAACUACACUGUGGAAGAUGAGGAGGAUGAUGACAUGGACGAAGGUGACCUUCUGGUGUCUUCUCCAAACAUCAGCGACUCCUCAGAGAGAGAUGCCAGCCCAGAAGCCAGAAGCCAGAAGCCAAAAACGCCAUCGUUAAUCUCUGUCACCCAAAUGGACAUCAUCUCUGGCUCUGUCUGGGCGAGCUCACAUAAGAGUCAAAGGGCCAGAUGAAGUCGUGGAAAGAUACAAACGCGUGAUGAAAACAUUUAAGUGUGUGUGCACCAUGACGGAGGCAUUCAACAUCAACAACGUGGAACGGGGGACCAUAAAAAUGACUGCUCCAAUCGCGGAACUAAAGAAUGCAGACCCUGACACGUUCCUGACCUUAAAGCCGGCCACACACAUAAAGAUAAUCGGGCUGAUUUUGCCCCGAUUUUCCCCCUUCCGAUCACGGACAGACAUCGCCCGAUUAUCUUAAGCUCUUAAGAUUAU